rnacentral:rRNA from 1 species
UACGGGGGGGGGCAAGCGGUUGUUCGGAAUUACUGGGCGUAAAGGGCUCGUAGGCGGCCAACUAAGUCGGACGUGAAAUCCCCAGGCUCAACCUGGGAACUGCGUCCGAUACUGGAUGGCUUGAAUUCGGGAGAGGGAUGCAGAAUUCCAGGUGUAGCGGUGAAAUGCGUAGAUAUCUGGAGGAAUACCGGUGGCGAAGGCGGCAUCCUGGACCGACAUUGACGCUGAGGAGCGAAAGCUAGGGGAGCAAACGGGG